UACAGAGGUCUCAAGCGUUGUUCGGAUUCAUUGGGCGUAAAGGGUGCGUAGGCGGCGCGGUAAGUCGGGUAUGAAAUCUUGGAGCUUAACUCCGAAACUGCAUUCGAUACUGCCGUGCUUGAGGACUGGAGAGGAGACUGGAAUUUACGGUGUAGCGGUGAAAUGCGUAGAUAUCGUAAGGAAGACCAGUGGCGAAGGCGGAUCUCCUGGACAACUUCUGACGCUGAGGCAC
rnacentral:rRNA from 1 species